UACGGGGGGGGCAAGCGUUGUUCGGAAUUACUGGGCGUAAAGGGCUCGUAGGUGGCCAACUAAGUCAGACGUGAAAUCCCUCGGCUUAACCGGGGAACUGCGUCUGAUACUGGAUGGCUUGAAUUCGGGAGAGGGAUGCAGAAUUCCAGGUGUAGCGGUGAAAUGCGUAGAUAUCUGGAGGAAUACCGGUGGCGAAGGCGGCAUCCUGGACCGACAUUGACGCUGAGGAGCGAAAGCAUGGGGAGCGAACAGG
rnacentral:rRNA from 1 species